UUUUCUUUAAUUGAGGCCGUCAGCACAGAAGUGGUCUAAGCUUACCACAGAUAUGAUGGAGCAAUGAGGUUUAAGUUUUCAUAAAAUAUUUUUUACAUCGCGUGCCCUGCGAAAACUAUUGAUGAUAGAAUAAAAUAAUGUAUUACGACUUUGUAGAACACAUUAUUAUUUAUAAAAAAUGUCGUGACAGCAUAUGUCUAACUAUUAUAGUUAUGCCGCAAUAAGUGUUCUUUUAUUUAAAAAAUAAAUAAACGUCAGCUAUCAUUGAAAUUUUUGUUGACCCGAGCGGAGCCGGAGCGGGCUGCUAGUUUUAAAUAAAUUGCAAUAUACAUAAUUAUAAGCAUGAAAUGAAAAAUUGUGGGUUAGGCCACUUCUGUGUUGACGGCCUCAAUUAACCUUGAAAUGUGACCCCGGAGUCAGUACUAUCGAUCACCCAGCACACCUCACGUAGCGAUUCGUAUCUUUCGCAAUGAAAGUCCCUCUGCGAUUCUUUCGCAGCUGUAUUAUCGCAGGGGUAUCCUUAAGUGAUUAUUUUUUUCCUUCAGACGAUGAGACCGUUCAAGUUCUUCGUACGCCGGGAGGAGCUCAAUUAAUGAUAUACAAAGACUACAGUUACUCGCAUCACAGCCACAACAAAACCUGUAGAGUAAUGAAGUGCUCGAAACAGAAGCGAAUGAACUGUAAAGCUAGACUCAAAGUGAACGAAGGAGGAAUAACAUACGUUAUGUUCGAAGACCAUGCGGAGCUCAAAUAAUGUUAUACAAAGACUACAGUUACUCGUUCCAGAGCAACAACAAAACCUGUAGAGUACUGAAAUGCUCGAGACAAUCUCGAGGGAAUUGCAAAGCGAGACUCAAAGUGAACAAAGAUGGAACAGUUGAGUUAAUCCAUUCCCACAAUCAUGAGCCAUGUCAAUACACAAUAACAAACAGCGGAGUGUAUAUAAAGCAUUAGAGUGAAUUGCACAAUUGCAUUUUGGUCGGAAAGUCGUCAUAGUUCUACGGGGUAUAAUAAACACGAAUGCAGAUUGGACACGUUUGGUUUAUUUGAUGUAUGUUCCGUAUGUUCCAUGGGGAGUGCUCUGAGGAAUUGUUCGAGAUGAUACCGGCAUCUCGUUUUUACCAUCGCACCGCCCGCCACCGGAGUAGAGUUCAUCCAUACUACCUGGAGCCACUGCGGUCAUCCACAGUGCGUUUCCAGAGUUUUUUUUUGCCACGUACCAUCCGGCUAUGGAAUGAGCUCCCCUCCACGGUGUUUCUCGAGCGCUAUGACAUGUCCUUCUUCAAACGAGGCUUGUGGAGAGUAUUAAGCGGUAGGCAGCGGCUUGGCUCUGCCCCUGGCAUUGCUGAAGUCCAUGGGCGACGGUAACCACUCACCAUCAGGUGGGCAGUAUGCUCGUCUGCCUAUAAGGGCAAAUUCGGUUUUUUUUAAUAGAUUUACAACGUUUUGUGUUGUGAUGUUGCUUAUACUGAAUGUAUUCAAUUCCGUAGUUGUCACGCGAAGUGAAAUUGUCUUAAAUAUAUAAUUUUGAAAAGAUUUAAAA